rnacentral:rRNA from 1 species
UACGUAGGGUGCAAGCGUUAAUCGGAAUUACUGGGCGUAAAGCGUGCGCAGGCGGUGAUGUAAGACAGGUGUGAAAUCCCCGGGCUCAACCUGGGAAUGGCAUUUGGGACUGCAAGGCUGGAGUGCGGCAGAGGAGACUGGAAUUCCUGGUGUAGCAGUGAAAUGCGUAGAUAUCAGGAGGAAUACCGAUGGCGAAGGCAGGUCUCUGGGCUGACACUGACGCUCAUGCACGAAAGCGUGGGGAGCAAACAGG